rnacentral:rRNA from 1 species
GAUGAACGCUGGCGGCGUGCUUAACACAUGCAAGUCGAACGAAGCAUUUAAGACAGAUUACUUCGGUUUGAAGUCUUUUAUGACUGAGUGGCGGACGGGUGAGUAACGCGUGGGUAACCUGCCUCAUACAGGGGGAUAGCAGCUGGAAACGGCUGGUAAUACCGCAUAAGCGCACAGUACCACAUGGUACAGUGUGAAAAACUCCGGUGGUAUGAGAUGGACCCGCGUCUGAUUAGCUUGUUGGCGGGGUAACGGCCCACCAAGGCGACGAUCAGUAGCCGACCUGAGAGGGUGACCGGCCACAUUGGGACUGAGACACGGCCCAGACUCCUACGGAAGGCAGCAGUGGGGAAUAUUGCACAAUGGAGGAAACUCGGAUGCAGCGACGCCGCGUGAGUGAAGAAGUAGUUCGCAAUGUAAAGCUCUAUCAGCAGGGAAGAUAGUGACGGUACCUGACUAAGAAGCUCCGGCUAAAUACGU